UUCAGAUUUUUCUCACACAUUGUGGACAUUCCGACGAAGCGAUGAGAACUGAAAGCUGUUGCAAAGAAGUAUUUGCCUCAAAAUUAUCCUCAUACAUUUAAGACACUUCGAUGCGAGUGCAUUUAAAAGUUUAGCAUAUCUAUAAAU